rnacentral:rRNA from 1 species
GGAAUAUUGGACAAUGGGCGAAAGCCUGAUCCAGCCAUGCCGCGUGUGUGAAGAAGGCCCUCGGGUUGUAAAGCACUUUCAGUGAGGAAGAACGCCUGUCGGUUAAUACCCGGCAGGGGAGACAUCACUAACAGAAGAAGCACCUGCUAACCCCGUGCCAGCAGCCGAGGUAAUACGGAGGGUGCGAGCGUUAAUCGGAAUAACUGGGCGUAAGGCGCGCGUAGGCGGCGUGAUAAGCCGGUUGUGAAAGCCCCGGGCUCAACCUGGGAAUGGCAUCCGGAACUGUCAGGCUAGAGUGCAGGAGAGGAAGGUAGAAUUCCCGGUGUAGCGGUGAAAUGCGUAGAGAUCGGGAGGAAUACCAGUGGCGAAGGCGGCCUUCUGGACUGACACUGACGCUGAGGUGCGAAAGCGUGGGUAGCAAAC